rnacentral:lncRNA from 1 species
UUUACUUUUCUCCUUAUUGCUCUUUACCUACUAAGCCAAUCUGAUGGCAUUAAAGGGGUUCCAAUUUCCUUCACUGUUUACUUUAAUGUCUAUGCUAUUUAAAGUGUGCUUAUAAAGGGCCAGUGAGGUAGCACAGUGGAUAAAGCAAUAUUCCUGGAGUCAGGAGGACUUGGGUUCAAAUCUGUUCUCAGAUACUUCCUAGCUGUGUGACUAUGGUCAAGUCAUAGAAUGCUAAUUGUCUAGCCCUUACCACUCCUUUGCCUUAAACAAGAUUCUAAAACAGAAGGUAAGGGUUUUUUUUUUAAAGUAGUGGAAAUCAUUAGUGCCCGGGUAAGCAUCAUCAUAAUCAGGAGUAGCUGAUGACACUGGUUUUACUUAACUGAAGGACUCUCUGCUAUCCUGAAUUGGAUGGGUUAGUCAGUGCAUGAAGGAUGUAUAUCCCUAAUUUCACAUCUCUAUAUUAUUCACUCAGUCAUUAAAUGUGUGGAGGAAGAGGGAAGAGAAGCAAAGUGUCUUUGACUGAUGCCAUCUAUCAACUAGUAGAAACUGAGAGAUGACCAAAGUAAAAGACAGAACAAGAAAAUGGAGACUACAGAGCAAGAGCUAAUCCGGAUGUUACUGGCCUCACGUUUUUAUCUCAAGGGAGCUCCCAAACUAAUCAAGGGGACAACAUUGAAACUACUCUGCAUAUAUGAAGAAAAAUUGAUGCAAGAAGAUGUUGUUACUUGCUCAGAGUCACACAUCUAGCCUGAGGAAGACUGUAAUCAUGUUUCUUUAGUCAAAACAAGCAAUUUAUAUACCAUGUGGACAACAGACUCAACAAUUACUAAAUAAAUUAUGCUUUGUUGUUUAUUCCUGAGGGAAU